AUUGAACGCUGGCGGCAGGCCUAACACAUGCAAGUCGAACGAGUGGCGGACGGGUGAGUAAUGUCUGGGAAACUGCCCGAUGGAGGGGGAUAACUACUGGAAACGGUAGCUAAUACCGCAUACCAUCGGAUGUGCCCAGAUGGGAUUAGCUGGUAGGUGGGGUAACGGCUCACCGAGGCGACGAUCCCUAGCUGGUCGGAGAGGAUGACCAGCCACACGGGAACUGAGACACGGUCGAGAUUCCUACGGGAGGCAGCAUUGGGGAAUAUUGCACAAUGGGCGCAAGCCUGAUGCAGCCAUGCCGGGUGUAUGAAGAAGGCCUUCGGGUUGUAAAGUACUUGCAGCGAGGAGGCGUUACUCGCAGAAGAAGCACCGGCUAACUCCGGGCCAGCCGCCGCGGUAAUUC
rnacentral:rRNA from 1 species